CCNUCUCUUUCACUCGAACCCUAGCCGCCUCAAGACCCUUUGCCGCCGCCGCCGCUUCAAACAACCCCAAUCUCCCUCAAAUUCACACCCCACAGUACUCACAUCCUCCUAAUCCCUAACAUUGAUCAAUUGCUUUUGUCAAGAGCAAUUGAUUAAUGUAAGUUUUAGCUCAUUUCGGAACCAUCGGAAUCCGGCCGAACCUCGUUGAAAUCGCGUCAAUUGAAUCGUCUUUUCUUCCAUAGGUCAAUAAUGGUGGAUCUGGCCACAGGUUGGUUUGAUUUGCCAUUUAAGGCUCGAGUGAAGUUUCAUCUCUGUCGGAUCUUUGUUGUUUGGGUUUGUUAUUCAUUAAGCAUCAGUUAGAGUUGUGAUCAUAGUGAAGGUUAACCAAAGCUGUAUUCUUUAAUGGAGGAUGGAUGUUGUAAUUUUAAGCAUAAGAUGAUGUAUUCCAUAAUUGACAGUGUAUUUGCUUAGGUGAGUGUUCGUGUAAAUUAUAAUUGUUUAAAUUGAUAGAAGUUCAAUUGUUCAAACCAUUUAUUUAUUUUGUUAAGCUAUAAUACUGCCAUUCAGUGGUUGAGUGA